CAGCUCUCUGUCCCUUCCCUUCUCCAAAUGCUGCAAGAAGUGGGAUGUGAGCUCUCAAAUGUCACAGAAGCCUACAAAAUGCUGACUCCCGGAUGCCGUGCAUAACUGGGGUUGGCUCAGAACGUGGAGACAGGGCAACACCAUCAUCUGCUAAGAAUUCAUUGUUCUGCAGCUUGCCCUGGACACAAUGAAAAGUAUCUCUGGAAACAUACACCAACCAGUGCCAAAUGCCUGGGAGUCAGGAACAGCUCUACCUGCCAAGUCUUUCAAGUUUGAUUCGCUGCCAUCCAAAGUGAAAAUUAGGGAGCUGGCUCUCCUGAACUUUGGACUGGUGACAGAAGAAGCUAAGUGGACCCUGAAUUAGAGGUUAGAGGAGCCCAAGUUCUCUGGAACUCACUAGUCACAGGACACUGGGCAAAUCACAGAAUAUCUUGGUCUCCUCCUCAGUGAAAUGGGACAAUUGGAAAGUUAUGGAGAUAAAACAAGGUAAUGGGAACACUCAG
rnacentral:lncRNA from 1 species